rnacentral:rRNA from 1 species
UACGUAGGGAGCAAGCGUUGUCCGGAAUCAUUGGGCGUAAAGCGCGCGUAGGUGGCCUCAUAAGUCCGCUGUGAAAGUCAAAGGCUCAACCUUUGAAAGCCGGUGGAUACUGUGAGGCUAGAGUACGGAAGAGGCGAGUGGAAUUCCUGGUGUAGCGGUGAAAUGCACAGAUAUCAGGAAGAACACCAAUGGCGAAGGCAGCUCUCUGGGACGGUACUGACGCUGAGACGCGAAAGCGUGGGGAGCGAACAGG